rnacentral:rRNA from 1 species
UACAGAGGGUGCAAGCGUUAAUCGGAUUCACUGGGCGUAAAGGGUGCGUAGGUGGCCAGGUAAGUUUGGUGUGAAAGCUCGGAGCUUAACUCCGAAAAGUCAUUGAAUACUAUCUGGCUGGAGGGUCGGAGGGGAGACUGGAAUUCUCGGUGUAGCAGUGAAAUGCGUAGAUAUCGAGAGGAACACCAGUGGCGAAGGCGAGUCUCUGGACGACUCCUGACACUGAGGCACGAAAGCUAGGGGAGCAAACAGG